GCCCUUUUCUGACCUGCGAUGUCUCGCCUGC
rnacentral:piRNA from 1 species